AGCUCCAAUAGCGUAUAUUAAAGUUGUUGCAGUUAAAAAGCUCGUAGUUGGAUUUCGGGACGGGCCGGUCGGUCGGCCGCGAGGUCUGUUACUGACCGGUCUGUUCUUCUUCGCAAAGACUGCGUGUGCUCUUCAUUGCGUGUGCGUAGGAUUUGCGACGUUUACUUUGAAAAAAUUAGAGUGUUCAAAGCAGGCCGUCGCUUGAAUACAUGAGCAUGGAAUAAUGGAAUAGGACUUUGGUUCUAUUUUGUUGGUUUCUAGGACCAAAGUAAUGAUUAAGAGGGACAAUUGGGGGCAUCCGUAUUUCGUUGUCAGAGGUGAAAUUCUUGGAUUUGCGAAAGACGAACAACUGCGAAAGCACUUGCCAAGAGUGUUUUCAUUAAUCAAGAACGAAAGUAGG
rnacentral:rRNA from 1 species